rnacentral:rRNA from 1 species
AAUCAACGCUGGCGGCGUGCCUCAGACAUGCAAGUCGAACGAGAAAGUUUCCUUCGGGGAAUGAGUAAAGUGGCGCACGGGUGAGUAACACGUAGGUAAUCUACCUUCGGGUGGGGAAUAACCCAGGGAAACUUGGGCUAACACCGCAUAAUGCAGCGGCACCACAUGGUGACAGUUGUUAAAGCGGGGGAUUUUAGGACCUCGCGCCUGAAGAGGAGCCUGCGGCGGAUUAGCAGUUGGUAAGGUAACGGCUUACCAAGGCGACGAUCCGUAACCGGCCUGAGAGGGCGGUCGGUCACACUGACACUGACAUACGGGUCAGACUCCUACGGGAGGCAGCAGUCGGGAAUUUUGGGCAAUGGGCGAAAGCCUGACCCAGCAACGCCGCGUGAAGGAUG